AAACCCUAAAACAUACAUCAGCCGCAGACACCCUCCCUCAUCUUCCCGGUCACCGGAGUAGAGGUCCGACCAACACUUCUGGCGACGCACCUAUACCCACGAAACCCCUUGUGUACCCUCCUCCACACACACAUGUAUCCCGAACUGUUAAGAGUGAAAGAGAACAUAGAGAGAGAGAUCAGAUGAGAGUGAAGGGAAGCAAUAGCGAGAGAGUGUGAGGGCAGAAAGGCGAAGAGGUGCGACGGAAGUUGACGGCAAAGCCGUUUUCCCAUUCACCGGUGGCGACGGCAGACCCGAGAGCCGAUCCCCGACCAGUUUCAUGACGGCAGAGGGAGUGGUGGUCAUUGGUGGUGUACGGAACGACGGAUGUGACGUCGACAACCAAGAAUUUUAACCUCGGUGACGUAGCAGCUACGGUGAGAACGAUGCCGAUGUCAGACAGCGGUAACAGUCGCCAAAGCUCCGACUCAGGCCUACGACAGUGGCAGCAGACACCUUAUUUUUUCAUCUUAAUGGUCUUGCGGAUGGGGUUGACCAAAUUAGGACAAAUGCAUUAUCUACCGAGCAACCAAAGGACCUUAGGUACAUAUGGAGCUUGCACAGGGAGGAGCAGGUCGUUGUGGG